GACCAUGUAGCUACUCACGUAAUGUAGACAUCAAAUGUUUGUGUAUAAAUUAUAUUUUACAAAGUAAACAUGGUCAAGCUAUCAUUAUAUUUGCAAUAUUUCAUAGCGUGGCUAGAAGACUUGGUCUACGUUGCGAUAUAAUACUUAUUUGGCCUCGCUAUUGUAUAUUUUGGAGACCGAAAUUCGUCACAAGUAGUUUAAAAAAUGCACAAUACUUUCACAUAAAAAACGAGAAUUUCCCGAAUUGUCUUUUUUAUCAUAUAUCAGUGUACAGGAUGCAAACAAAUUGCUUUCGCGACCUCGCAAUA